GAUGAACGCUGGCGGCGUGCCUAAUACAUGCAAGUCGAGCGAACAGAUGAGGAGCUUGCUCCUCUGACGUUAGCGGCGGACGGGUGAGUAACACGUGGAUAACCUACCUAUAAGACUGGGAUAACUUCGGGAAACCGGGGCUAAUACCGGAUAAUAUAUUGAACCGCAUGGUUCAAUAGUGAAAGACGGUUUUGCUGUCACUUAUAGAUGGAUCCGCGCCGCAUUAGCUAGUUGGUAAGGUAACGGCUUACCAAGGCAACGAUGCGUAGCCGACCUGAGAGGGUGAUCGGCCACACUGGAACUGAGACACGGUCCAGACUCCUACGGGAGGCAGCAGUAGGGAAUCUUCCGCAAUGGGCGAAAGCUUGACGGAGCAACGCCGCGUGAGUGAUGAAGGUCUUCGGAUCGUAAAACUCUGUUAUUAGGGAAGAACAAAUGUGUAAGUAACUAUGCACGUCUUGACGGUACCUAAUCAGAAAGCCACGGCUAACUACGU
rnacentral:rRNA from 1 species